UUGGUUUCUCUGUCCAAGAUUUGUACCCGGUCGCGCCGAGGGCAGCGCUUGUUCCGCCGCUCUUGCUGGAAUAGUACGUCAAGCGCUUGCUGGCUGUAGAAGCCGCAAGAGCCUUUGGCUUUUUGCAAAGUGGGACAUAGCAAAACAUCAGGGGAAGUCUUGAUCGUUGCCGUUUUCUAGGUCAUCUCUUGUCGGAAAGGAGGCGAAGGCCUGAAAGGAAAAGUAGCAGCUCGGCAGGCGACGCUGCCUGUACCAACAUGGAAGCUGCAGAGUAGAAUUUUCCUGGGUUGGGUAACCAGCCUAGAACAAGUUCAAGGAUCUGAAGACUUGUCUUCUGCAGGCUGUUGGAGGAACGCAAUGGGAGGCCAUCAAUUGCUUACCAUAAAAGCUAUGGAUGGUCAGUGGCAAUGCCAGUGGCACAGAUGCACCAGUGAUGGUGGAACAAAUCCUCCUUAUUGGAGACAAUCCUGUAAUGGGGCUUUGUACACAGGUUGAACAGAUGACUGCAGAUGGCUCUGAUGGAGUUGCCAACAACAGGAACUGGUGGAGUGGGUUUGCAACUUCAAGGAGCCAACAUCAUGAGUCCAUCUCCUGGAGGACUGCUGCGUAGUUAUGGAUGCAGUUAGAGAUUACUGUCUAUUUUUCCUUCUCUGUUUUGAUAUUGUGUGUUAUUAAAGGUUCCAUUUUCUUGGU